rnacentral:lncRNA from 1 species
UCCUGCCUUUACCUUUAUGAUUGGGUUUUUCUAUAUUUGUUAUUACUCUAUUUCCCCCCCAUUUCCAGCCCUGAAGCUUUUAUAAAUGCUUUUACAAUGCUGUCUUUGAAAGCUGUAGGGUUCACUUUGGGGACACAUUUCCUAUAAAAAUGUUAGCCAUGCGGAUUGGGGUAGCGUGAAGAUGAUGUUACAAUUCAGCGUUCCAGCAGACCCUUGAGUUUCCGAAUCCUCAUUUAACCGAGCCUCCUGUUUUCCCCAUGGGGUCUCAGAAGGAGUUGGAACAAACCCAGAGGGAAAAUCAAGCAAAACUCUGCUUUACUUUGGAUGGGCUGGGUAAGAGAUCACAGUAGCCUCAGACCCCGUGUUUCGUGACUUGCCGGGCCAUGCAGAGGACACCACUUUGUUUUCUGCUCUAGGACGGUCUGAGCAUUUCCAGAUCAAAUCAGGCACUAGGGAUCAUUCCUAUAUAUUUCCCUUUGAUGCCCAUAUCUUACUGUCAGCAGGCAUCCAUUUGACGGCACAGAAGACGGAUGUGACAGGACCCUGGCUCACAAAGAGCUGCUCAGGCCCAGGCUCUGCAGCAGGGCUGUGCCCAAAGCCCCAGCUCCUCCCCGUUGUCCACAUGGCUGGGCCCUGCAUGGGAGGAAAGAGGGGGCAUGAAGACAAACAGCGAGGAAAUUGGGGUUUCGGAGGGCAGGCCUGCCCAGAAUGCAUUCCUAUAAAUUCUGAAGGAAGAGGGUGGGAGAGACCCACCAUUCUGCUUUACAUAUGCAAGGAAUACGUGAGGAGCCUGAAUUCCUAGGAAAGGUGAGACAUCGGGGCAGAUACCGGCCCAUUCGCCAUGCUCCUUUCUCGCUGUGGGUGAAGAGAAGACGGUGAUGGACACUCUGGCUUCCGCUGCAGGAGCUCCACAGCCAGGGAACCCCUCUGCUCCCUUCGCCGUGUGAAAUCGCAUCUAGCUCCUCCACCGCAGAGGCACCGGGGCAGCACUGGAAACACAGCCCGAGGGUAACUCAAAAACCCAGGGCCGCUUUCAUAUACGCCUGAGGUUUACAACCACCCUGUAAAAUGCAGGGGGUGGCUCCUUCCACUGAAGUUACUUAUUCCUACAGAUGAGUCAAAACGGCACUGAAACAACAUAUCUUCCCUUCUUUCGUUCCCCUGAAAAAAAUCCCAAACCAUGGUCCUUUUCCCACUUACUCUGCUUAUCCUCCCAAGCCAGGAGCUGAAAUGGCCCUUUUUUCAAGCCUGAUUUGCUUAAUCUUCAAUUUUAGCCCAUGGAGUCAUUCAUGGGAGCUGAUGCAACCACAUCAACACCCCCUGAGCCGGGGUUUUUCAACCACAGCACCCCAACAUUCUUUGUGUCUCCCCAGUUCUAGGAGCAGUCAGUGCAGAUAGGAGCAGCACAGCAAUGACACCACACCCACAAAACCGGGCAAACAUAAUGAAUAAGAGAACUAAAAGUGAACGCGGCAGCAGCUUUACAUCUCAGUGCCAAUUUGAGAUUGGUAUUGCCAUCGAGAGUCAGCAGCCUCGCCCGGACGCUCCGCCGUGCCCACUGUGCUAUGAAACCGCCUGAGUCAUCGCUUUCCUCCCUGCCAUUUUACGUUGAUCCCACCCUGUGCCUCCCGAGCUCCCUUCCUUUCGCCUCAGACCUUUGGUUCAUUCAGUUGUGAUCUGUCUUUCUCCUCUCAACCUCUUCAUUUCUAACAACUUCUCGUCAGCACUGUGAUGGUUAACACUGAGUGUCAACUGGAUUGGAUUGAAGGAUGCAAAGUACUGUUCCCGGGUGUGUCUUUGAGCGUGUCGCCAAAGGAGAUUCACAUUUGAGCAGUGGGCUGAGAGAGGCAGACCCACCCUCAAUCUGGGUGGGCACCAUCUGAUCAGCUGCCAGCAUGGUCAGAAUUAAAGCAGGCAGAAGAACGUGAACAAACUAGACUGGCUGAGCCUCUGACCCUGCGUCUUUCUCCCGCGCUGGAUGCUUCCUGCCCUCAAACAUCGGACUCCAAGUUCUUCAGCUUUGGGGCCCAAACUGGCUCCCUUGCUCCUCAGCUUGCAGAUGGCCUACUGUGGGGCCUCACCUUGUGAUUGUAUGUGUCAGUUCUCUUAAUAAUCACCCCUUUAUGUAUACAUCUACCCUAUUAGUUCUGUCCCUCUAGAGAACCCUGACUAAUACAGACACUAAGCGUGUUCAAGCGCAUCCAUCCAUAAGAACACCUCCCCUGAUCUUACCUCUCUUCUUAGUUACCACUCAACACACCACUCUCCUCCAUACCAUAGGAAGUUUGCGUAGGUUUUCAGCAUCCACUGAUUCUCUCCUCCCCCUCCUUCCUUUCGUCUUAACCACACUAUUUCACUGAGACUACUCCUGACAGGUUCAGCACUUACUUUCCAACCCCCAAAUCCAGUCGGUCCUGUGCAGGACCCAUUGCUAUAAUCACUCCCAGGUUUCCAGUUAAUCAAUGUUUGUUGAGUGUUUAUUAUGUGCCAGCCACUGUUCUGUGUUCUGAGGGUGCAGUGAGCAACACAGACAAAAACGUUGAUCUCAUUGAGGGAUGCUGGAUUAAAAACCGGAGAACAGGGGCAGAUUUGUUAACGACAAGCAUCA